GGGCCCAAAACUGUUGUACUAGACUUGGAAUUUGCUUCUGAUCACGUCUAGUACAACAGGUUGGGCCUGU